UGUGCGCACGCAGUGUGUUUCAGGGCACAGAGCAGAAGAAGCUGUCGAGAUGCUGAAGACUUUCUACAAACAGGAGAAUCCAAACGCCCCGAAACCCAAAACAAGGAAAGACUGAGCUUUCCCGAACAAACCAGCUGUUUUUCACAUUUUUAUAUUGCUUGUAUUUACGUUUUUGUUGUGAUUUGUUUAUUGAAUAAAUGGCAUUAUAAAUAA